UACGUAGGGGGCAAGCGUUGUCCGGAAUUAUUGGGCGUAAAGCGCGCGCAGGCGGUCUUUUAAGUUUGGUGUUUAAGCCCGGGGCUCAACCCCGGUACGCACUGAAAACUGGGAGACUUGAGUGCAGGAGAGGAAAGCGGAAUUCCACGUGUAGCGGUGAAAUGCGUAGAGAUGUGGAGGAACACCAGUGGCGAAGGCGGCUUUCUGGACUGUAACUGACGCUGAGGCGCGAAAGCGUGGGGAGCAAACAGG
rnacentral:rRNA from 1 species